rnacentral:tRNA from 1 species
GCCACCUUAGCUCAGCCGGAAGAGCACCCGCCUCGUAAGCGGGGGGUCGCGGGUUCGAAUCCCGCAGGUGGCUC